CAUUCCGCAAGGUUGUCUAGGAGUGUUGUUGUUGUGCUCGUUGGAUGCAUUUGCGUGCGGAGUGCGCCGAGUGGGUCGAUGUCGCUGCCGGAAGGGCGUAUAGAGGACUCGGGUUUUCGGACUCGAGAAUCCUGUGCGUUCGGAUAGCAGGUGAUGUUGGCUCGCUGUUGUGGAGUGCGGGUGAAUUCGCGAUGGGCGUCGGUUGUGAGUUGUGGUUGCGGAUGGCACAUGUGUCUUCCGUUUCCGCGGCCUACGAUCGGCGUUCGUUGCCCCGGCACUCGACUCGGUGUAUAGUCGGUCACCCAUUCGACCCGUCUUGAAACACGGACCAAGGAGUUUAAGGUGUACGCGAGUCAUUGAGCUGCGAAACUCAAAGGCGUAAUGAAAGUGAGACAUUGGAUGUCGACGAUGUGAGCGUUGGGCGUUUCGACGUCCGGCGCGCAACAUCGCCCCGUGACUAGGACUUGUUCUGUUGCGGAGGUUGAGCGUACGCUUUGAGACCCGAAAGAUGGUGAACUAUGCCCGAACAGGAUGAAGCCAGAGG
rnacentral:rRNA from 1 species